rnacentral:rRNA from 1 species
GACGAACGCUGGCGGCGUGCUUAACACAUGCAAGUCGUACGGUAAGGCCCUUUCGGGGGUACCCGAGUGGCGUACGGGGGGGUAACACGUCAGUAAGCUGCCCACAACUUUGGGAUAACGCUACGAAACUGGUGCUAAUACUGGAUAUGUGCUCCUGCUGCAUGGUGGGUGUUGGAAAGCUCCGGCGGUUGUGGAUGGAGUUGCGGCCUAUCAGCGUGUUGGUGGGGUAGUGGGCUACCAAGGCGGCGACGGGUAGCCGGCCUGGGAGGGUGACCGGCCACAGUGGGACUGGGAUAGGGCCCCGACCCCGACGGGAGGCAGAAGUGGGGAAGGUGGAUCAAUGGGCGCAAGCCUGAGGCAGAUACGCCGCGUGCGGGAUGACGGCCUUGGGGUUGUAAUCCGCAUUCAGCAGGACCGAAGCUGUUAGUGACGGUACCUGCAGAAGAAGCACCGGCUAACUACGUG